CUAUAUUCGGCGGCUCAGAAUUGCUGCGGACUUCAUUCACAGCACUACCGAGGAAUAAGACGGACCUGCCGUGCACUGUGGAAAAAUCCGCCAGCUUUUCCUGCGUUUCGUCUUUGUUUUAUUUUCUCCUCGGAUACGAAUCUGGAACUGUACAACUAUGAGGCGGCACACAUUUUUUAGGAUCCAAUUUUUAGCUUUUUAAAGUGAAUGGACCUAAAUAUUGUGCUUGACUCACAUUUUCUAAGUGUUAAUAUAAGUAAUAUAUUGCAUUUUAUUCGAUAAUAUUAAGCAUAGGUGUAUUUGAUAUAUUAUUUACAAAGAGUAUUUUUAUUUAUGAUUAACUAUUGCAGCAACUAGAGCAAUGCACAGAGGUUACUCUCUGGGGAUUGUUAAGUCAUACUGGUUGGAACAACCAUGUCGACCUUUUGCCUGUUCGGUUGUUUUCUGAGAGGCGAGACAGGGGACGCUGGACCUGCUCAGACCAUAGAGUGACAGCGCCUUGAGUCACUGACAAGCAACUUUUAAACACCGUCGGUUUUCUUUCGGUAGUUUAGUUGGCGUGGACAGUCGUAACAGAGAGAUACAGCCAACUCCCACGCUGCGCUUUCUGAGGCAUGGUUCUGGAUUUCGUGUGCUCAGGAGCGAUACAGCAGCUCCGUCAGAAUCCGUCUUUCUUGUUUUGGGGGAAAUUGAAAUUAAAAGGAGAUGAGAACCGUACUCUGCUACUUCCUGCUCUUGAGCUCAUACCUGAUGCUUCCCGCUGCUGAGGAACUCGGGAUCCCUCAAGAGCUGAUAGAGAGACUGUCGCACAGCGAAAUCAACAGCAUCAGCGACCUCCAGAGGCUACUGGAGAUAGACUCCGUAGGAGGCGCAGGAAAUGAAGUGAUCGAGCCGGCCAGACCACGGCACCAGCACCAGAAGAGCCACUACCAUGGCUCCUCCCAACUCAAGAGCACCCAGCUGCACCGCAGACGCAAGAGGAGCGUGGUGGAGGAGGCGGUGCCGGCGGUGUGUAAGACCCGCACGGUGAUCUACGAGAUCCCCCGCAGUCAGGUGGAUCCCACCGCUGCCAACUUCUUGAUCUGGCCUCCGUGUGUGGAGGUGAAGCGUUGCACAGGCUGCUGCAAUACCAGCAACAUGCGCUGCCACGCCUCGAGAAAACACCACCGCACCGUUAAGGUGGCAAAGGUAGAGUUUGCAUCACGGAAAAAGCCGAAGUUGAAGGAGGUGUUGGUGAGGUUAGAGGAUCAUCUGGAGUGUGUAUGCAUGUCACAACACCAUGUGACAGAACAUGUGGAAGUAGACACAGUAUCCUCCCUCCACCCCACUAACUGCCCACCCCCAUUUCACACACCUGUGUUUCCAGGCCCCCAUAGAGUUAAAGGUAAAAAACGGAAAAACAGAAAACAAACAAUGCCAUCCCAUCUCAGCAAGGAUUUAUUGGUGACAUAAUAAAAAUGGCAGACGUUCCCUAAAGUCCAGCGGACCCGUGCCUCCUGAAGUGGAUGUGAGGUGAAAGCAGGCCACACAAGGGACUGACGAGCUGAAGGGGCCAAAGAGAGGAUGUCACCAUGCUUUGGCGGCUCCGUGACCUUGACCCCUGGCCUCUGACCCCAACCCACUGCCACCCUCAUUACUAAAAGAGAUAAACUGCAAACCUGAGAGACUAAACACUAGCCCAACGCCAAAGGUGCUUUCUACCCCUGCCCAAUGCAGUGACCUCCUUAAGACACUGAAGAUGAUGAAGGUGACAGCGAUGAUUACACUGCAUGGAAGGGAAGAUGACAUGGGAGACUGCGAUGCUUCUCUAUUGUUCAUGUAUGACUCAAAGUAAGAGGAGAAAGUCUUUUGGAGUACCACACUAUAGAGGACCUGUGAACGUAUCCCUUUGGCUCAGCCGUGAUCCACACAAGGGCGUGUACAGUAGCCCUCGUGGGCCAAAUUUACCAGGCUAGGCAGCCCCAUUCACAACCCCCCUGAAGGACAGAAAGAAAGAGACAACCCAGUGUGGUACUGGCCAAGACGUGCACGAGACAAGGCACAGCUUUGUUUAAAAGGACUCUCAAGACCUCUCUGGUGACCUGCAUCCCUUCAUCUGUGUGGGGGAAGUCUUCGUUUGAUUGUCAGAGCUGCUCUAGAAUGGUCCCUGUUCUAUUGCAUCUUACUGCUUCACAAGGAACUGCCAUUCUGAGAUGUAGAGAUUAGCAUAAAGUCUAUUAUGCCGUAAUUACUUCAGAAUAAACUAUUUAUACAUAUGAAGACUCUCUGUCUCUGUAUCUCUCUCUCUCUCUCUCUCUCUCUCUCUCUCUCUCUCUCUCUUGCUCUGUACCAUUGUAAUAUCCAGAUAAGACUGGUCUUCCCAAGUGUCAGCAUUACCAAUGUAUUUUUGUUGUUGUUCUUUUUGUUUGUUUGUUUUUUUAAGUGUCCUUGAAAAUGCCUUUUCUUGUUGCAUAUUGUAUCACAGCAUAUCUUGGAUCUCAAAAACUAGCAUACUGGCUGGAAAAGAAAAUGUUUAUGAUGGGAUGAUUAAGUGUAAGUGAUAGAAAAGGAAAGAUGCUUUAUUUUUGUUAAAAAAAUAUAUUAUGCUUAUGUACAGUACAUUCAAGCCAGAA